AACGAACGCUGGCGGCAGGCUUAACACAUGCAAGUCGAACGGGUGUAGCAAUACAUCAGUGGCAGACGGGUGAGUAACACGUGGGAACCUUCCUAGGGGUACGGAACAACUCAGGGAAACUUGAGCUAAUACCGUAUACGUCCGUAAGGAGAAAGAUUCAUCGCCCCUAGACGGGCCCGCGUCGGAUUAGGUAGUUGGUGGGGUAACGGCCUACCAAGCCUACGAUCCGUAGCUGAUCUGAGAGGAUGAUCAGCCACACUGGGACUGAGACACGGCCCAGACUCCUACGGGAGGCAGCAGUGGGGAAUCUUGGACAAUGGGCGCAAGCCUGAUCCAGCCAUGCCGCGUGAGUGAAGAAGGCCUUAGGGUUGUAAAGCUCUUUUACCAGGGACGAUAAUGACGGUACCUGGAGAAUAAGCCCCGGCAAACUUCGUGCCAGCAGCCGCCGUAA
rnacentral:rRNA from 1 species